GCCGCGUUAGUCCAACUACAAGAGACGCUCCGCUCAGACCGGAGAGGUUGGGGGUGGAAAUCCCUCACGCGGCACCA
rnacentral:tRNA from 1 species